rnacentral:rRNA from 1 species
UGGGGAAUAUUGCACAAUGGAGGGAACUCUGAUGCAGCGACGCCGCGUGAACGAAGAAGGCUUUCGAGUCGUAAAGUUCUUUUAUAUGGGAAGAUAAUGACGGUACCAUAAGAAGAAGCCCCGGCUAACUACGUGCCAGCAGCCGCGGUAAUACGUAGGGGGCUAGCGUGGUCCGGAAUCACUGGGCGUAAAGGGUUCGCAGGCGGAAAUGCAAGUCAGGUGUAAAAGGCAGUAGCUUAACUACUGUAAGCAUUUGAAACUGCAUAUCUUGAGAAGAGUAGAGGUAAGUGGAAUUUUUAGUGUAGCGGUGAAAUGCGUAGAUAUUAGAAAGAAUACCGGUGGCGAAGGCGACUUACUGGGCUCAUUCUGACGCUGAGGAACGAAAGCGUGGGUAGCAAACAGG